GCCUAACACAUGCAAGUCGAGCGGCAGCACAAGUGAGUUUACUCAUGAGGUGGCGAGCGGCGGACGGGUGAGUAAUGCCUAGGGAUCUGCCCAGUCGAGGGGGAUAACAGUUGGAAACGACUGCUAAUACCGCAUACGCCCUACGGGGGAAAGAGGGGGACCUUCGGGCCUCUCGCGAUUGGAUGAACCUAGUGGGAUUAGCUAGUUGGUGAGGUAAUGGCUCACCAAGGCGACGAUCCCUAGCUGUUCUGAGAGGAUGAUCAGCCACACUGGGACUGAGACACGGCCCAGACUCCUACGGGAGGCAGCAGUGGGGAAUAUUGCACAAUGGGGGAAACCCUGAUGCAGCCAUGCCGCGUGUGUGAAGAAGGCCUUCGGGUUGUAAAGCACUUUCAGUAGGGAGGAAAGGUUGUAAGUUAAUACCUUGCAGCUGUGACGUUACCUACAGAAGAAGUGACCGGCUAACUCCGUGCCAGCAGCCGCGGUAAUACGGAGGGUCCAAGCGUUAAUCGGAAAUUACUGGGCGU
rnacentral:rRNA from 1 species